CUGAAGAAAUGGUAGAGUUGAGCUGGCUCCAUAGGAGUACGUGCUCGCUCCAUCGAUUUUUCUACUCUCCACUGUGCACCUCUUGUAGGCUAUGAUGUUUCAGCUCGAAAGGGUUGGAUUCAGAGGGCUAGCAGUUCCACCUGCUUGGCCUCGACUUCGUAGCCUAUGUCUUACAUACACUCUGUCAAAGUAUAUGAAUGUGUAUCGUUGGUCUUUGACCGAUAAACUACGUA
rnacentral:misc_RNA from 1 species